GAACGGGUGAGUAACACGUGGGCAAUCUGCCCUUCACUCUGGGACAAGCCCUGGAAACGGGGUCUAAUACCGGAUACGACACGGGGUCGCAUGACCUCCGUGUGGAAAGCUCCGGCGGUGAAGGAUGAGCCCGCGGCCUAUCAGCUUGUUGGUGGGGUGAUGGCCUACCAAGGCGACGACGGGUAGCCGGCCUGAGAGGGCGACCGGCCACACUGGGACUGAGACACGGCCCAGACUCCUACGGGAGGCAGCAGUGGGGAAUAUUGCACAAUGGGCGAAAGCCUGAUGCAGCGACGCCGCGUGAGGGAUGACGGCCUUCGGGUUGUAAACCUCUUUCAGCAGGGAAGAAGCGAAAGUGACGGUACCUGCAGAAGAAGCGCCGGCUAACUACGUGCCAGCAGCCGCGGUAAUACGUAGGGCGCAAGCGUUGUCCGGAAUUAUUGGGCGUAAAGAGCUCGUAGGCGGCUUGUCACGUCGGAUGUGAAAGCCCGGGGCUUAACCCCGGGUCUGCAUUCGAUACGGGCAGGCUAGAGUUCGGUAGGGGAGAUCGGAAUUCCUGGUGUAGCGGUGAAAUGCGCAGAUAUCAGGAGGAACACCGGUGGCGAAGGCGGAUCUCUGGGCCGAUACUGACGCUGA
rnacentral:rRNA from 1 species